rnacentral:rRNA from 1 species
AGAGUUUGAUCCUGGCUCAGGACGAACGCUGGCGGCGCGCUUAACACAUGCAAGUCGAGCGAGAACCAUUCCUUCGGGAAUGGGGACAGCGGCGAACGGGUGAGUAACACGUGGGUAAUCUGCCCUCGAUUCUGGGAUAGCCCGGGGAAACCCGGAUUAAUACCGGAUAGCCUCUCGAGCUUUCGAGCUCGUGAGAAAAGGUAGCUUCGGCCUCCGAUCGAGGAUGAGCCCGCGGCGGAUUAGCUUGUUGGUGGGGUAAUGGCCUACCAAGGCAACGAUCCGUAGCUGGUCUGAGAGGACGAUCAGCCACACUGGGACUGAGACACGGCCCAGACUCCUACGGGAGGCAGCAGUGGGGAAUCUUGCGCAAUGGGCGAAAGCCUGACGCAGCGACGCCGCGUGGGGGAAGAAGGCCUUCGGGUUGUAAACCUCUUUCAGCAGGGACGAAGCCACUCGGGUUAAUAGCCCAGAGGGUGACGGUACCUGCAGAAGAAGCCCGGCUAACUACGUGCCAGCAGCCGCGGUA